ACUAACACCUAAACUCUAUCUAACACAAGCAGAGCACAGAAUACAGAAGAAGCCCAAGCUAUAUUAUUGUUAACUCUACUCCUAUAUCUCCUAUCCUGCAGCAGCUCUCCAUAUAUGGAAAAGGCUGAUCCAGAUGAUUCUAUUUCAUUGUCACAUGCAAUGUGCUUUGUUGGAUUGACUGUGAUUUCCAUGAUUAAUGAGGUAAUUUUUCUCUUUGUAUUUGUAGUGGACAUUUUGUAUCAUAGAGAAGGUACCAUUUUAUAAUCCCAAUGGAUGAUGGGUGGGCAAUCAUAAACCCUUAAAUGAAGAAGCUCUUGAUGAUCAUGGUGUGAUUCAUUGCAAUGGUUAUGGCCAUUUGGUAUGUCUUAAUGGGAGAGGAAUCAUGGAUCUAUGGAACCAAAUUAGCACCAAUCUUGGAGCAAGGUGGGGUUAUGGUUUUUGCCGUGGAAGCUUUGGUGUGACAGAACAAAACUAUAAUGAAGCUAUUGAAACUCUUGGUUCAUUAGUUCUUGAUGAUAUUGCAAGAGAUCUGAGUAAGACAAAGUAAAAGAUGUCAAGCAAAUGAUUCGUCUCAAUACAAAUGUUAACUUGUGCCCUUAAGAGUACAUGUUAAAAAAAACUCAUUAUAGAAAUAUAUGUAUCAAAAGUCGUGCAUUCAACUUCUUAAACAUUAAAAUGUUAUGUUUUCCAAUGUAAAAUUACUCAUUUUAGGUUCUUUAA